rnacentral:rRNA from 1 species
AUUGAACGCUGGCGGCAGGCCUAGCACAUGCAAGUCGAGCGGAUGAAGGGAGCUUGCUCCUGGAUUCAGCGGCGGACGGGUGAGUAAUGCCUAGGAAUCUGCCUGGUAGUGGGGGAUAACGUCCGGAAACGGGCGCUAAUACCGCAUACGUCCUGAGGGAGAAAGUGGGGGAUCUUCGGACCUCACGCUAUCAGAUGAGCCUAGGUCGGAUUAGCUAGUUGGUGGGGUAAAGGCCUACCAGGGCGACGAUCCGUAACUGGUCUGAGAGGAUGAUCAGUCACACUGGAACUGAGACACGGUCCAGACUCCUACGGGAGGCAGCAGUGGGGAAUAUUGGACAAUGGGCGAAAGCCUGAUCCAGCCAUGCCGCGUGUGUGAAGAAGGUCUUCGGAUUGUAAAGCACUUUAAGUUGGGAGGAAGGGCAGUAAGUUAAUACCUUGCUGUUUUGACGUUACCAACAGAAUAAGCACCGGCUAACUUCGUG